rnacentral:rRNA from 1 species
GAACGGAGCGAGGGCUCUGGUCACCUCCCACCCAUGUUUAUUGUACCUUGUUGCUUCGGCGGGCCCGCCUCACGGCCGCCGGGGGGCUUCUGCCCUCUGGCCCGCGCCCGCCGAAGACACCAUUGAACACUGUCUGAAGAUUGCAGUCUGAGCAAUUAGCUAAAUAAGUUAAAACUUUCAACAACGGAUCUCUUGGUUCCGGCAUCGAUGAAGAACGCAGCGAAAUGCGAUACGUAAUGUGAAUUGCAGAAUUCAGUGAAUCAUCGAGUCUUUGAACGCACAUUGCGCCCCUUGGUAUUCCGGGGGGCAUGCCUGUCCGAGCGUCAUUGCUGCCCUCAAGCACGGCUUGUGUGUUGGGCCCCGUCCUCCUUCCCGGGGGACGGGCCCGAAAGGCAGCGGCGGCACCGCGUCCGGUCCUCGAGCGUAUGGGGCUUUGUCACCCGCUCUUGUAGGCCCGGCCGGCGCUUGCCGACAACCAUCAAUCUUUUUUCAGGUUGACCUCGGAUCAGGUAGGGAUACCCGCUGAACUUAAGCAUAUCAUAAGCCGGAGGAA